rnacentral:tRNA from 1 species
GCGCUCGUAGCUCAGUUGGAUAGAGCAUCAGCUUGCGGAGCUGAGGGUCGUAGGUUCAAGUCCUACCGAGCGCA